GCCUAGGUGGCGAAAUUGGUAGACGCACUCGCUUCAGGUGCGAGCGCUGCAAGGCGUGGGGGUUCGAAUCCCUUCCUGGGCA
rnacentral:tRNA from 1 species